rnacentral:rRNA from 1 species
UACGUAGGGUGCGAGCGUUGUCCGGAUUUAUUGGGCGUAAAGAGCUCGUAGGCGGUUCGGCAAGUCGGGUGUGAAAUUUCGAGGCUCAACCUCGAAACGCCACUCGAUACUGCUGUGACUGGAGUCCGGUAGAGGAGUGCGGAAUUCCUGGUGUAGCGGUGAAAUGCGCAGAUAUCAGGAGGAACACCAACGGCGAAGGCAGCACUCUGGGCCGGUACUGACGCUGAGGAGCGAAAGCGUGGGGAGCAAACAGG